rnacentral:rRNA from 1 species
GACGAACGCUGGCGGCGUGCUUAACACAUGCAAGUCGAACGGAAAGGCCCUGCGUUUGUGGGGUGCUCGAGUGGCGAACGGGUGAGUAACACGUGAGUAACCUGCCCUUGACUGUGGGAGAACUUCAGGGAACAGGGGCUAAUACCGGAGAGGAUCUCCUGCUGCAUGGGGGGGGUUGGAGAGAUUCGGCGGUUGUGGAUGGACUCGCGGCUUAUCAGCUGGUUUGUGGGGUAGGGGUUUACCAAGGCUUUGACGGGUAGCCCGCCUGAGAGCGUGAACGGCCACAUUGGGCCUGCGAUACGGCGCAGACUCCUACGGGAGGCAGCAGUGGGGAAUAUUGCACAAUGGGCCGACGCCUGAUGCAGCAACGCCGCGUGCGGGAUGACGGCCUUCGGGUUGUAAACCGCUUUCGCCUGUGACGAAGCGUGAGUGACGGUAAUGGGUAAAGAAGCACCGGCUAACUACGUG